rnacentral:sRNA from 1 species
CAAGAUAGAAUACGUCAGCGUACUGCG